rnacentral:rRNA from 1 species
GGGGGACCUUCGGGCCUCUUGCCAUCGGAUGUGCCCAGAUGGGAUUAGCUAGUAGGUGGGGUAACGGCUCACCUAGGCGACGAUCCCUAGCUGGUCUGAGAGGAUGACCAGCCACACUGGAACUGAGACACGGUCCAGACUCCUACGGGAGGCAGCAGUGGGGAAUAUUGCACAAUGGGCGCAAGCCUGAUGCAGCCAUGCCGCGUGUAUGAAGAAGGCCUUCGGGUUGUAAAGUACUUUCAGCGGGGAGGAAGGGAGUAAAGUUAAUACCUUGGCUCAUUGACGUUACCCGCAGAAGAAGCACCGGCUAACUUAUUGCCAGCAGCCGCGGUAAUCCGGAGGGUCAAGCGUUAAUCGGAAUUACUGGGCGUAAAGCGCACGCAGCGCA